AUGAAUAUGAUGGUGAUAGUGAUGGUGAUGGUGAUUGUCCGGUUGUCUUAGAGGUGGUGGGACAAAAGAGAUCUAGAGGAAGUGGGAUGCCUCCAAGUGAGGAGGAAGAGGAUGUAGAUGAUGGGGAGGAUGAUGAAGGUCAAAGCCCUUUAGUUUAUAUUAACAUUGUAUGAAUUUAUGUUGUUCAAGUGCUAACUUGUAAUUUUUGUAGGUAACAAUGACGUGCUGCCUCGUGAAAGCAAUGAACCUUUGCGGAAGUCUACAAGGAAAAGGAGGAAGAGGAAGGUAAUAAUGAAGUGCUAACCUUGUCUGUUUGCUUGCUGCCACCCGAAAAAUUAUCUAUUUGCUUCCAUAUCAUGACAUACAUCCAUAUUUGCUUGCUAACACCCAAAAUUUUAUUUGUUUGCUGCUAUCUCAUGCCAUCCAUCUAUUUAUUAUAUAUUGUCAACAAAUUCGAAGACAUGAUAAUAUAAACAAAUUUGUUUGCUAACAACAUGACAUUUAGUUUGCUCACUUGCAGCUUGAUUCGUUUUGAGAUUCGAGGAAGGAGACUUGCAAGUCUAGAAGGAAUUGAAUGACAAUUUGGUUUGUUGCUCAAUGCUUUGUAGUAUGUAAUUAACGAAUCGACGAUCUUUUGUUAUGGGACUGUAAUAUGGACUGGCUGCACUUCUUUUGUUGUUGGACUGCUAUGUGUGUCUUCCUGUGUCUAAUCUUAAGUUUAGUCUCUAAAGUCUGAAACUAUAUUGUUGGACACUUGGACUGCUAUUCUGAUGGUUUAUGAGUAUUGUACAUCUAUAUUGGUCAUUGUAUUGUUAUAUGUGUUGUGGGUCUCUUAAGGCCAGUUACUAUUGCU
rnacentral:lncRNA from 1 species